UACGUAGGGGGCAAGCGUUGUCCGGAAUUAUUGGGCGUAAAGCGCGCGCAGGCGGCUUUGUAAGUCUGUCGUUUAAGUUCGGGGCUCAACCCCGUAUCGCGAUGGAAACUGCAAGGCUUGAGUGCAGAAGAGGAAAGUGGAAUUCCACGUGUAGCGGUGAAAUGCGUAGAGAUGUGGAGGAACACCAGUGGCGAAGGCGACUUUCUGGUCCUUAACUGACGCUGAGGCGCGAAAGCAUGGGGAGCGAACGGG
rnacentral:rRNA from 1 species